GCCUAGCCACCUAGGAGCCCGCCUACCGCCUACCGCCUAGCCUCCUAAUCUGCCUAGGCCGCCUGGGAGCCCACCUAGCACUUACCGCCUAGCAGCCUAAUCCGCCUAGGCCACCUGGGAGCCCACCUUGCACUUACCGCCUAGCCGCCUAAUCCGCCUAGGUCGCCUGGGAGCCCACCUAGCGCUUACCGCCUAGCCGCCUAAUCCGCCUAAACCGCCUAGGCCGCCUGGGAGCCCACCUAGCGCUUACCGCCUAGCCGUCUAAUCCGCUUGGGCGCCCGCCUACAAUCCAGACGCCCAGAAUCACCGAUUCUUCAUUAGUGGAAGCGGAGAGGCACCGCCCAGGGCCUAGGCGGCUUGGGAGGCCG
rnacentral:lncRNA from 1 species